rnacentral:tRNA from 1 species
CAGAUUAUAGCUUAUUUUAAGUAUUUUAUUUACAUUAAAAAGAUAAUUAUUAAAUUAAUUUAAUUUGA